rnacentral:rRNA from 1 species
UACGUAGGGGGCUAGCGUUGUCCGGAAUCAUUGGGCGUAAAGCGCGUGUAGGCGGUCCGGUAAGUCCGCUGUGAAAGUCGGGGGGCUCAACCCUCGGAUGCCGGUGGAUACUGUCGGGCUUGAGUACGGAAGAGGCGAGUGGAAUUCCUGGUGUAGCGGUGAAAUGCGCAGAUAUCAGGAGGAACACCAAUUGCGAAGGCAGCUCGCUGGGACGUUACUGACGCUGAGACGCGAAAGCGUGGGGAGCAAACAGG